CAAUGGCAACAAAAGAUAAAACAAGAUACACCAGAGCUAACUUAGUUUUAUUGGAUGUGUUUACAAAAGGAUUGCGGGAUUUGUUACAAACAAAGGUGAUGUCAAUUACCAGUUUAGAAACAAUGGUACAGAAUACUGAAUUUCAAAAUAUGCUGUCUGAAAAAGAAAAGAAUUUACUUGCAACUAUAGAAUAUGAUGAGUUAGAUAUUGGAAUUAUUUAUAAAAUUAUAAGGUUUUUCAAAGUUGUGCAAGCACCGUCCAGAGGUUGGGGUUUUCCACCACGACCAAAUGAUCAACAAAUUGCAGAUGAUAUCGAACGAAUUCGAAUCAUGCGGAAUAGUUUAGCACAUAAACCAAAUCCAGUACUAUCAGAAGAGGAUCUGGAAUCAAUGUUUACAGAUUUUGCUGACAUGAGCUAUAGAUUUGAUAUCUACAUGAAUAUCAGGAUCCGAAUAAUGGAUAUAGUAAAGCUGUUGAUAAUUACAAGACUGGUCCAAUAGACCCAGAAAGGGAAAGACAGUACAAAGACCAAAUAGAUAACCUCGAAGAAAAAUAUCAAGUGGUGAAACAAGGAAGAAGAAUAAAUAUAUAUUUUGGAAAAGACAUGCACGACAUUUUCACAUCAGAACAGUCAGGGGAUACCGACACACGACUUAAAAUUUAUCUUCCAAACGUUGUUGAUCCAGGUAUUGUUACCAAAGUUUUGAUGUCAAUAAUUCUGGAAAUAGUAAAGAUGAAUUAUGAAAUAAUUCUCGACAAUGUGGGAUCAGGAAGUCUCAUACUUUAUAUAACGGUUACUAAACAUGUCAUGCAAAAUCGACGACAAUUCGUAGAUAGUUUGGGAAGGUUUUUGGUAUGUCUCAUUACCAAAGGUGAAAUUGAUUUCGGAAUUGCUGAAUAUGUUGAAGCUGUUGUUUCAGCUUCGGAUCCACUGAUAG